rnacentral:rRNA from 1 species
GGGGUUAAGGAACUCGCAAAUUGACACCGUAACUUCGGGAGAAGGUGUGCCCUUGAGGGUGAGGAGCCGCUAACGCGCACUCGGAGCCUUUGGGGGUUGCAGAGAAUCGGGGGUAGCGACUGUUUAUCAAAAACACAGGACUCUGCGAAGUCGCAAGACGACGUAUAGGGUCUGACGCCUGCCCGGUGCCGGAAGGUUAACAGGAGAUGUCAGCGCAAGCAAAGCAUCGAAUCGAAGCCCCGGUAAACGGCGGCCGUAACAAUAACGGUCCUAAGGUAGCGAAAUUCCUUGGCGGGUAAGUUCCGUCCUGCACGAAUGGCGUAACGACUUCCCCACUGUCUCGACCCGGGACUCAGCGAAAUUGAAUUCGGGGUGAAGAUGCCCCGUACCCGCGGAAAGACGGAAAGACCCCGUGAACCUUUACUGCAGCUUGGCACUGGUUUUCGGAUUUGUCUGUGUAGGAUAGGUGGGAGGCUGUGAAGUGGGGCCGCUAGGUUUCACAGAGCCAACGUUGAAAUACCACCCUGACAAAUCUGAAAGCCUAACCGUGACCCGUAAGCCGGGUCCGGAACACUGCCUGGUGGGUAGUUUGACUGGGGCGGUCACCUCCGAAAGAGUAACGGAGGCGCGCAAAGGUUCCCUCAGGCUGAUUGGAAACCAGCCGUAGAGUGUAAAAGCACAAGGGAGCUUGACUGCAACUCAUACAAGAGGAGCAGGUACGAAAGUAGGCUUUAGUGAUCCGGUGGUUCUGAAUGGAAGGGCCAUCGCUCAACGGAUAAAAGGUACUCCGGGGAUAACAGGCUUAUCACGCCCAAGAGUUCACAUCGACGGCGUGGUUUGGCACCUCGAUGUCGGCUCAUCGCAUCCUGGGGCUGUAGUAGGUCCCAAGGGUUUGGCUGUUCGCCAAUUAAAGCGGUACGCGAGCUGGGUUCAAAACGUCGUGAGACAGUUUGGUCCCUAUCUUCCGUGGGCGCAGGAGUCUUGAAGUGGAUCUGUCCCUAGUACGAGAGGACCGGGAUGGACGAACCCCUGGUGUUCCGGUUGUUUUGCCAGAGGCAUUGCCGGGUAGCUAUGUUCGGAGAGGAUAACCGCUGAAAGCAUCUAAGCGGGAAACCAACCACAAGAUGAGGACUCCCUGAAGGUCCGUCGUAGACCACGACGUUGAUAGGUCGGGUGUGGAAGUGCGGCAACGCAUGAGCUAACCGAUACUAAUAGACCGCUUGGCUUGAUC